rnacentral:tRNA from 1 species
UUGCUGAUAGCUCAGUUGGUAAAGAAUCUGCCUGCAAUGCAGGAGGCCCUGGUUCAAUUCCUGGGUUGGAAA